rnacentral:rRNA from 1 species
AGAGUUUGAUCAUGGCUCAGGACGAACGCUGGCGGCGUGCCUAAUACAUGCAAGUCGAGCGAGCGGAACUAACAGAUUUACUUCGGUAAUGACGUUAGGAAAGCGAGCGGCGGAUGGGUGAGUAACACGUGGGGAACCUGCCCCAUAGUCUGGGAUACCACCUGGAAACAGAUGCUAAUACCGG